rnacentral:misc_RNA from 1 species
GUGGAAGAACCUUGUCAAUCGUUACAAGGAUCUUACGACGAAGGGGAUUAUUGGUAGAGGACGUGAGUCAGGUGGUCUCUACAUUCUGGAAAAUCAUGUACCGCGGUCGCUUGUUUGCUCCAGUACCUUAGAAGCUCAUUGUAGAUUGGGCCAUCCUUCUUUGUCUACCAUGAAGAAGCUGUGUCCUCAAUUAGUUUCAGUCUUUAUCAGUACUAGAAUGUGAGUCGUGUCAGUUUGCAAAACAUCAUCGUUUGCCUUCUGUGUCUAGAGUCAAUAAACGGGCUUCAUCCCCUUUUGAGUUAGUUCAUUCUGAUGUUUGGGGUCCUUGUUCUGUUACUUCUAAAACUGGAUUUCGUUAUUUUGUUACUUUUGUUGAUGAUUACUCUCGUGUUACCUGGUUAUAUUUAAUGAAGAAUCGUUCUGAGUUGUUUUCUAUCUUUUGUGCCUUUUGUAAUGAAAUCAAAACUCAAUUUAAUAUUUCUGUGCGCAUAUUAAGAAGUGACAAUGCCAAAGAAUACUUUUCAGCACAAUUUCAGCCUUAUAUGACACAAAAUGGCAUUCUUCAUCAGUCUUCCUGUGUGGAUACCCCAUCCCAAAAUGGCGUGGCCGAAAGAAAAAAUCGGCAUCUUCUUGAGGUAACUCGUGCUCUUCUUUUUCAGAUGAAAGUACCUAAACACUUUUGGGCGGAUGCAGUUUCUACGGCAUGUUUUUUGAUCAAUCGUAUGCCGUCUUCUGUCCUUAAUGGGGAUAUUCCUUAUACUACUUUGUUUCCUACAAAAUCUUUGUUCCCUAUUGAA